rnacentral:rRNA from 2 species
AAUUUUCCGCAAUGGGCGAAAGCCUGACGGAGCAAUACCGCGUGAGGGAGGAAGGCUCUUGGGUCGUAAACCUCUUUUCUCAAGGAAGAAAAAAAUGACGGUACUUGAGGAAGAAGCAUCGGCUAACUCCGUGCCAGCAGCCGCGGUAAUACGGAGGAUGCAAGCGUUAUCCGGAAUGAUUGGGCGUAAAGGGUCUGUAGGUGGCGAUGCAAGUCUGGGGUUAAAGAGUCUAGCUCAACUAGAUAAAAGCCGUGGAAACUGCCGAGCUAGAGUAGGGUAGGGGCAAGAGGAAUUCCUGGUGUAGCGGUGAAAUGCGUAGAGUUCAGGAAGAACACCGGUGGCGAAAGCGUCUUGCUAGACCCUAACUGACACUGAGGGACGAAAGCUAGGGGAGCGAAUGGGAUUAGAUACCCCAGUAGUCCUAGCCGUAAACGAUGGAUACUAGGCGUGGCUCGUAUCGACCCGAGCCGUGCCGGAGCUAACGCGUUAAGUAUCCCGCCUGGGGAGUACGCACGCAAGUGUGAAACUCAAAGGAAUUGACGGGGGCCCGCACAAGCGGUGGAGUAUGUGGUUUAAUUCGAUGCAACGCGAAGAACCUUACCAGGGUUUGACAUGGCGUGAAUCUUCUUGAAAGGGAAGAGUGCCUUAGGGAACACGCACACAGGUGGUGCAUGGCUGUCGUCAGCUCGUGUUCGUGAGAUGUUGGGUUAAGUCCCCGCAACGAGCGCCAACCCUCGUUUCUAGUUGCCCAGCAAGAAAGAUGGGGAACCUCUAUAGAGAACUGCCGGUGACCAAGACCGGGGAGG